rnacentral:rRNA from 1 species
GGAUUAGAUACCCUGGUAGUCCACGCCGUAAACGAUGUUCACUCGCUGUAUGCGAUACACAGUAUGCGGCCAAGCGAAAGUCUUAAGUGAACCACCUGGGGAGUACGUCGGCAACGGUGAAACUCAAAGGAAUUGACGGGGGCCCGCACAAGCGGAGGAACAUGUGGUUUAAUUCGAUGAUACGCGAGGAACCUUACCUGGGCUUAAAUGUAUAGUGCAUGUUGUGGAAACACACUUCCCUUCGGGGCUCUUUACAAGGUGCUGCAUGGUUGUCGUCAGCUCGUGCUG